UACGUAGGGGGCAAGCGUUGUCCGGAUUUAUUGGGCGUAAAGAGCUCGUAGGCGGUUCGUCGCGUCGGCUGUGAAAACCUGAGGCUCAACCUCAGGCCUGCAGUCGAUACGGGCGGACUUGAGUACUGCAGGGGAGACUGGAAUUCCUGGUGUAGCGGUGAAAUGCGCAGAUAUCAGGAGGAACACCGGUGGCGAAGGCGGGUCUCUGGGCAGUAACUGACGCUGAGGAGCGAAAGCGUGGGGAGCGAACAGG
rnacentral:rRNA from 1 species